rnacentral:rRNA from 1 species
UACAGAGGUGGCAAGCGUUGUUCGGAAUUACUGGGCGUAAAGGGCGCGUAGGCGGUUCGAUAAGUCCCGUGUGAAAGCCCCCGGCUCAACUGGGGAACUGCACGGGAAACUGACGGACUUGAGUUCGGGAGAGGGAAGCGGAAUUCCGGGUGUAGCGGUGGAAAUGCGCAGAUAUCAGGAGGAACACCGGUGGCGAAGGCGGGUCUCUGGGCCGAUGACUGACGCUGGAGGAGCGAAAGCGUGGGGAGCGAACAGG